GCAGACGUAGCCAAGUGGACCAAGGCAAUGGAUUGUGAAUCCACCACGCACGUGUUCAAUUCCCGUCGUUCGCC
rnacentral:tRNA from 1 species